GAUGAGCGCUAGCGGGAGGCCUAACACAUGCAAGCCGAGCGGUAGAGUCUCUUCGGAGACUUGAGAGCGGCGCACGGGUGCGGAACACGUGUGCAACCUGCCUUUAUCUGGGGGAUAGCCUUUCGAAGGGAAGAUUAAUACCCCAUAAUAUACUGGAUGGCAUCAUCUGGUAUUGAAAACUCCGGUGGAUAGAGAUGGGCACGCGCAAGAUUAGAUAGUUGGUGAGGUAACGGCUCACCAAGUCAGCGAUCUUUAGGGGGCCUGAGAGGGUGAUCCCCCACACUGGUACUGAGACACGGACCAGACUCCUACGGGAGGCAGCAGUGAGGAAUAUUGGACAAUGGGUGAGAGCCUGAUCCAGCCAUCCCGCGUGAAGGACGACGGCCCUAUGGGUUGUAAACUUCUUUUGUAUAGGGAUAAACCUAGAUACGUGUAUCUAGCUGAAGGUACUAUACGAAUAAGCACCGGCUAACUCCGUG
rnacentral:rRNA from 1 species